rnacentral:misc_RNA from 1 species
UUUUUUUGUUAUGGUUUUGUUUACGUUCGUUAACUCAUGUUUGUAAAGGUAUACCUGGGUCUCUAGCUCGAAAGCCGUCGUCCCAGGUGAAUGAUGCACAGAGUGGAGAGUGGAGGACGAGCCUGCAGUGCUGCAGUGCUCAAAAUUCACUAAUGAUCCUUCCGCAGGUUCACCUACGGAAA